rnacentral:rRNA from 1 species
UACGGGGGGGGCAAGCGUUGUUCGGAAUUACUGGGCGUAAAGGCUCGUAGGCGGCCAACUAAGUCAGACGUGAAAUCCCUCGGCUUAACCGGGGAACUGCGUCUGAUACUGGAUGGCUUGAGUUCGGGAGAGGGAUGCGGAAUUCCAGGUGUAGCGGUGAAAUGCGUAGAUAUCUGGAGGAACACCGGUGGCGAAGGCGGCAUCCUGGACCGACACUGACGCUGAGGAGCGAAAGCGUGGGGAGCGAACAGG